GAUCCUGGCUCAGGACGAACGCUGGCGGCGUGCCUAACACAUGCAAGUCGAGCGAGAAUUUCGCAGCGGAAUCCUUCGGGAGGAAGCAGUGGAAGGAAAGCGGCGGACGGGUGAGUAACGCGUGAGUAACCUGCCUUCAGGAGGGGGAUAACAUUCCGAAAGGAAUGCUAAUACCGCAUGACAUUGUAUUUCCGCAUGGAAUAACAAUCAAAGAUUUAUCGCCUGAAGAUGGACUCGCGU
rnacentral:rRNA from 1 species